GCAUAGCUCAGCUGGUUGAAGCAUGGUGCUGAUAACGCCAAGGCUGCAGGUUCAGUCCCCAUAAGGAACA